UACCAGCACCCCGAGUGGUCUGGGCGUUUAUUGGGCCUAAAGCGUCCGUAGCCGGUUCUACGAGUCUUCCGUUAAAUCCACCUGCUUAACAGAUGGGCUGCGGAAGAUACUAUAGAGCUAGGAGGCGGGAGAGGCAAGCGGUACUCGAUGGGUAGGGGUAAAAUCCGUUGAUCCAUUGAAGACCACCAGUGGCGAAGGCGGCUUGCCAGAACGCGCUCGACGGUGAGGGAUGAAAGCUGGGGGAGCAAACCGG
rnacentral:rRNA from 1 species